UAGGGAAUCUUCCGCAAUGGACGCAAGUCUGACGGAGCAACGCCGCGUGAGUGAAGAAGGAUCUCGGUUCGUAAAACUCUGUUGUUAGAGAAGAACAGCGCAUAGAGUAACUGUUAUGCGUGUGACGGUAUCUAACCAGAAAGCCACGGCUAACUACGUGCCAGCAGCCGCGGUAAUACGUAGGUGGCAAGCGUUGUCCGGAUUUAUUGGGCGUAAAGCGAGCGCAGGCGGUCAAUUAAGUCUGAUGUGAAAGCCCCCGGCUCAACCGGGGAGGGUCAUUGGCAACUGGUUGACUGGAGUGCAGAAGAGGAGAGUGGAAUUCCAUGUGUGGCGGUGAAAUGCGAAGAUAUAUGGAGGAACGCCAGUGGCGAAGGCGACUCUUUGGUCUGUAACUGACGCUGAGGUUCGAAAGCGUGGGUAGCAAACAGG
rnacentral:rRNA from 1 species